UGAAAGUAUAAUAUGUUCAAUAAUUUGAUACAUAUUUACGCUAUGUGUUAUAAUUAUUAUUAUUUUUUUUUUUAAAGUAUUUUUUGGGGCCUUUUAUUGCGUUUAUGAUAGUGACAGCUGAAGACAGACAGGAAGGGGGGGCAGAGAGAGGGGAUGACACGCAGCAAGGGGCUGCAGGUCUGAUUCGAACCCUGGGCCGCUGCAGCAAGGACUUAAUACAUGGGUCGCCAGUUCUCUCUCUCUCUCUCUCUCUCUCUCUCUCUCUUUCACCCCAACUGGUCGAGACAGACGACCACCCACCUAGAGCCGAAGGAUCUGUCCUAGGUUUCUGCCUUUUAACAGGCAGUUUUUCCUUGCCCUUGUCGCCAAGUGCUUGCUCAUGGUGGUACUGUUGGGUCUCUGUAAUUAAUGUUUUAAAGAGUUCGGUCUAGACCUGCUCUAUUUGAAAAGUGUCCUGAGAUAACUUCUGUUAUGAAUUGGCGCUAUACAAAUAAAAUUGAAUUGAAU